AAACCGUGUGCUUACAAGUAGUCAGAGCCCGUUAAUGGGUGAUGGCGUGCCUUUUGUAGAAUGAACCGGCGAGUUACGAUUUGAUGCAAGGUUAAGCAGUAAAUGUGGAGCCGUAGCGAAAGCGAGUCUGAAUAGGGCGUUUAGUAUUUGGUCGUAGACCCGAAACCAGGUGAUCUACCCUUGGUCAGGUUGAAGUUCAGGUAACACUGAAUGGAGGACCGAACCGACUUACGUUGAAAAGUGAGCGGAUGAACUGAGGGUAGCGGAGAAAUUCCAAUCGAACCUGGAGAUAGCUGGUUCUCUCCGAAAUAGCUUUAGGGCUAGCCUCAAGUGAUGAUUAUUGGAGGUAGAGCACUGUUUGGACGAGGGGCCCCUCUCGGGUUACCGAAUUCAGACAAACUCCGAAUGCCAAUUAAUUUAACUUGGGAGUCAGAACAUGGGUGAUAAGGUCCGUGUUCGAAAGGGAAACAGCCCAGACCACCAGCUAAGGUCCCAAAAUAUAUGUUAAGUGGAAAAGGAUGUGGCGUUGCCCAGACAACUAGGAUGUUGGCUUAGAAGCAGCCAUCAUUUAAAGAGUGCGUAAUAGCUCACUAGUCGAGUGACACUGCGCCGAAAAUGUACCGGGGCUAAACAUAUUACCGAAGCUGUGGAUUGUCCUUUGGACAAUGGUAGGAGAGCGUUCUAAGGGCGUUGAAGCAUGAUCGUAAGGACAUGUGGAGCGCUUAGAAGUGAGAAUGCCGGUGUGAGUAGCGAAAGACGGGUGAGAAUCCCGUCCACCGAUUGACUAAGGUUUCCAGAGGAAGGCUCGUCCGCUCUGGGUUAGUCGGGUCCUAAGCUGAGGCCGACAGGCGUAGGCGAUGGAUAACAGGUUGAUAUUCCUGUACCAC
rnacentral:rRNA from 1 species